rnacentral:rRNA from 1 species
CAAUAGCGUAUAUUAAAGUUGUUGCGGUUAAAAGCUCGUAGUUGGAUUUCUGUCUAGGGCGGCCGGUCCACACUUUGUGUGAGUAUCUGGUUCGGUCUGGGCAUCCUCUUGGGGAUCGUUUCUGCGCUUAAUUGCGUGGGGCGGAAUUCAAGACUUUUACUUUGAGGAAAUUAGAGUGUUCACGGCAAGCUAUCGCUUUGAAUACAUUAGCAUGGAAUAAUAAUAUAGGGCAUAAGUUCUAUUUUGUUGGUUUCUAGGACGUAUGCAAUGAUUAAUAGGGAUAAUUGGGGGCAUUCGUAUUAACACGUCAGAGGUGGAAUUCUUAGAUUGUGUUACGACGAACUACUGCGAAAGCAUUUGCCAAGGAUGUUUUCAUUGAUCAAGAACGAAAGUAUGGGGAUCGAAGAUGAUCAGAUACCAU